AUUGAACGCUGGCGGCAUGCCUUACACAUGCAAGUCGAACGGUAACAGGUUAAGCUGACGAGUGGCGAACGGGUGAGUAAUGUAUCGGAACGUGCGCAGUCGCGGGGGAUAACUACUCGAAAGAGUGGCCAAUACCGCAUACGACCUGAGGGUGAAAGCGGGGGACCGUAAGGGCUCGCGCGAUUGGAGCGGCCGAUGUCAGAUUAGCUAGAGGGUGGGGUGAAAGCUCACCAGAGCAACGAUCUGUAGCUGGUGUGAGAGGACGACGAGCUACACGGGGACUGUGAAACGGCCCAGACUCCUACGGGAGGCAGCAGUGGGGAAUUUGGGACAAUGGACGCAAGUCUGAUCCAGCCAUGCCGCGUGCAGGAAGAAGGCCUUCGGGUUGUAAACCGCUUUUGUCAGGGAAGAAACGAGUUUCUCUAAUACAGAGACUUAAUGACGGUACCUGAAGAAUAAGCACCGGCUAACUACGUGCCAGCCGCCGCUGUAAAAC
rnacentral:rRNA from 1 species